UUUAUAUUGACAAUUUUUUAGACACAUUUCCCUUCGGUCGACAAGUUCUCGUGUGCGUGGUUUCAGUCAGAGGGCUCGCUUGGUGGGAUAUAUGGAUUAUCCGGACUGGAGCCUGGUAGAUUGGAGUCUAUAGGUAGAACACGUUUUUCCUGAAAUCUUGUGUCAAUGUCCCAUCACAAUGUCCUUCAAUGUCCCUCACACCAAACCUCAAGGAAAUAGCAACGUGUUUUAACGACCAUCCUCUUUGCCACCACUACCAAAUGAUGGCCCGUCAUUGAUCUUCUAAUUAAUAUGUCCCUAAGUCAUCAGAAACGAAGGAUUAUUUCUCAGAGAGGAGACCAUAACAAAAAGUAUACUGUAUAGUUAUUAAUAUUGUCAGUAUGAUUGUACAAAAUACUCUAUUUAUUAAAUCCCCAUGAAUGCAAAUUAGUAAUUACAUACUGGAGUAUCCUUGUUACAAUAAAUAUAAUGGUAUACAUUUUAUUGUCAUUAGAUUCACUGUUGUGAGAAAUAAUGUUUCCUAAAGAAAUGUAUCCAAAAAUAUAAACUUUGCUUUGAGAAUGCCUGAUGUCAUCCUCCAUUCACUACUGUCAAUGAGCAAUUACA